UGGCGACCAUAGCGUUGUGGACCCACCUGACUCCAUGCCGAACUCAGAAGUGAAACGCAAUAGCGCCGAUGGUAGUGUGGGGCUUCCCCAUGUGAGAGUAGGACAUCGCCA
rnacentral:rRNA from 2 species